rnacentral:rRNA from 2 species
GCGGAGGAAAAGAAAAUAACAAUGAUUUCCCUAGUAACGGCGAGUGAAGAGGAAAGAGCUCAAAGUUGGAAACUGUUUGGCUUAGCUAAACCGUAUUGUAAACUGUAGAAACAUUUUCCUGGCACGCCGGAUUAAUAAGUCCUUUGGAACAAGGCAUCAUGGAGGGUGAGAAUCCCGUCUUUGAUCCGAGUAGUUGUCUUUUGUGAUAUGUUUUCAAAGAGUCAGGUUGUUUGGGAAUGCAGCCUAAAUUGGGUGGUAAAUCUCACCUAAAGCUAAAUAUUUGCGAGAGACCGAUAGCGAACAAGUACCGUGAGGGAAAGAUGAAAAGAACUUUGAAAAGAGAGUUAAACAGUAUGUGAAAUUGUUAAAAGGGAACCGUUUGGAGCCAGACUGGUUUGACUGUAAUCAACCUAGAAUUCGUUCUGGGUGCACUUGCAGUCUAUACCUGCCAACAACAGUUUGAUUUGGAGGAAAAAAUUAGUAGGAAUGUAGCCUCUCGAGGUGUUAUAGCCUACUAUCAUACUCUGGAUUGGACUGAGGAACGCAGCGAAUGCCUUUAGGCGAGAUUGCUGGGUGCUUUCGCUAAUAAAUGUUAGAAUUUCUGCUUCGGGUGGUGCUAAUGUUUAAAGGAGGAACACAUCUAGUAUAUUUUUUAUUCGCUUAGGUUGUUGGCUUAAUGACUCU